CCUCACGACGCCGACAGCCCGAGACGUCCUCCCAGCCGCCCUUGCGGCGGGGUGCGGCCACGUGAGCUGGCUCGGCCAAUGGGAGGCACCAGCGCACGUAGGCCGGGCAUGCGCAGGAGCGCCUUCAGCACCGCGUUCUGGAGGCAGAGUCGGCGGCCCCGAUUGGCCGAGCCCGGUCACGUGGCAGUGCCCCGGGAUUCCCUUCCAGGCGCCAGUGUAGGCGGGUCGGGAGUGUCGCAGGCUUCCGGGCCACUGGCGUUUCCGGUUCUGAGUGGCAGGUCGUCCCAUCAGGGCAUGAGCUGUUUGUUUGCUGUUGUUUUGAUGAUGCGUGAAAGAGAAAAGCGAGGCUCUGAGUCCCCACCCUGCAGCUCUGAGGACAAGCUCCGCGCCCCAGACACUGCCCCCAGGGAGCCCGCACGAGGACCACAAAGAGGCCACCCACCUGCGGCUCGUCACACCCUUCCUGCAGGGAAGACCUCGGAGCUGGGGGAGAACCCGUGUCUGGGACCCCGG
rnacentral:lncRNA from 1 species